rnacentral:rRNA from 1 species
GAUGAACGCUGGCGGCGUGCCUAACACAUGCAAGUCGAACGGAGAUUACGGACGGAAGUUUUCGGAUGGAAGGCUGUAAUUCUUAGUGGCGGACGGGUGAGUAACGCGUGGGCAACCUGCCCUAUACAGGGGGAUAGCAGCUGGAAACGGCUGGUAAGACCGCAUAAGUCGGCGAGACCGCAUGGUUUUGCCGGGAAAUGAGCAAUCAGGUAUAGGAUGGGCCCGCGUCUGAUUAGCCAGUUGGCAGGGUAAAAGCCUACCAAAGCAACGAUCGGUAGCCGGACUGAGAGGUCGGACGGCCACAUUGGGACUGAGACACGGCCCAAACUCCUACGGGAGGCAGCAGUGGGGGAUAUUGCACAAUGGAGGAAACUCUGAUGCAGCGACGCCGCGUGAGUGAAGAAGUAUUUCGGUAUGUAAAGCUCUAUCAGCAGGGAAGAUGAUGACGGUACCUGACUAAGAAGCCCCGGCUAACUACGUG